ACGGCCGUACCAUGCUGAAUAUACCGAUUCUCGUUAGAUCACCGAAGUCAAGCAUCAUUGGGCGCGGUCAGUACUUGGGUGGGUGACCACCUGGGAAACACCGCGUGCCGU
rnacentral:rRNA from 1 species